rnacentral:lncRNA from 1 species
CGCGCACCCGCACGCACAGCCCCGGCGGCGGCACCGAGGAGGAUCCCGACGGCCGCAGCAGAUGGGAGAGCUCCGACACCGCUCAUCCCACGCCUCCUUGGAAGCGGGCGAUUGAAGCCCGGGGAUUUCUACUCGUUUUCUCGGAGCCCCCCCCGGCCCCCACCCGAGGGAUGGAUGCUCUCGCGUUGGAGAUGCCGGCGCUCGGGGCUUCGCUGGGCUGAAAUUGAGGAGCGUUUGUAGUGCCGACAGAUCCGAGCUGGAGCUGCUGACUCCCGCGUGGAGCUGUGAUUCCUUCCUGGGGUUUGUGCUAUUUCCAGCUCCUGUUGCCCCCAUUCCUGUGACGCCCAUCCCUGUGUGCUGGGAGCAAACCCUGGUUGGGAGCACGCUGCGCUCUGCUCCGUUUGCAGCCGCUUUUCCCACGCUAUAGGACGGCCCAGGGCAUAUCUUGCAUGGCACCAACGCUCAGCUCUGCGUGAGCUGCUGAGGCAGACGUGGAUCUGCAGGAUGAGCAGAGCUGCAGGCAGAGGUACUGCUGGCAUCAGGGGGUGGCUGCGGUGGGUUUGGGGUUUGCACUGCUGUGAGCGCUGCGCUUUGCAUUCCUCCUGCGCCUCCC